GUAACGCUCCUAUUUCUAUUAAAGCAAUUAGACAUGCGAAUAAUACAUUUAUUCAAGAAAUAGAGAUUACGUCUUAUUCAAAAUUAAAAAAAAACGAUAGACAUGUAUGUAAACCUCAACAGUUACAGCGGAAUACAAAUCAGAGUGAUUAAAUAUAUACAUGCCAUGAGCAAAUAAAUCAUAUCCCAAAGAUAAAUCUCAAAACCCAAACAUACGGGUAGUCAUCAACAAAAUAAUAAUUCAAAGGAAAAAAAUAUAACAACCUAAUCUAGACCGACACGACAAGCCUAGAUCAGAGCCGACACAACACCGAUAUCGGAGGAAGCUCCCGAUAUCCCACGCAAAGACUCACCGAGACUACUCCUGCACAACGUCUACUCACCCAUACAGGCAAGUAGGCGGUUAAAACCACUGGGGGUAAGCAUUACAUUAUCAUAAUCCAGAUAAUAAUCAAAACAGAUAAUAUCAUGUACUUGAAUAAUAAUAAUCAUGCAUAAAUAUUUACAUCACCACUUGAUAGUUCGUAUCCACAUAUAUCAAUCACAUGAAUAAUUUAUCCAAUCACAAAUAUUCAUUCACAACAUCAAUCAUAGACAAUCAUUAUCAACAUUCAUUCAUCUCAAUUCAUCACCAAUCACAUAAUUCACAUAGGACUCAUGCUAUGAUAUGCACUUAUGGACACAUAAAUGCAUGCGGUACCAAAUCUCAACAAGGUCGUCACCUUUCGAUGCCACUUGCACAUCGAAUGUAAGGGCUCACACCUGCCUUACAAUAAUCUCGAAGUAAAAGAGUCAUCCAUUUUACAGCAACAACGACUAUGAUGCAUGGACAUGUAUAAGGACUCGAUAAUGCGACAACAAUCCACAAUUUCAACCUCAAUAUAUAGGACGACACCCAAUUAUAUUGAUUAUCUCCACACAUUGCAUUAUCAAGAAAACAUGUCCACACACAAUUAAAUCAUAGUAUUCAUCAACACACAUCAACAUGAUUCUCAAUAAUCAACAAUGUCAUUCAACAUCAACUAUCACAUAUAGUUUCACCAUUGCAAGCAUUCUCAUAUUCCAAGUAAUAUAGCAUACAUAUCUCAUGAUAAACAUCAUGUCCAAAAUAUAAUCACUCAUUCAUACAACUUCACUUAGUCAUAGAAGAAUGGUCACAAUAAUUCAUAAGACAAUACGACACAAAGAUUCACUAGACCCCUUUUUCACAAGGUUAAUUCUUUCAUAAAAAUACCCCUAGAUGAUUAGGAUAAAGUCCCUACACUUAGGAAGAAGUUUGGAAGUAAUUGGAUCAAAGAAAUUGCAUUUUUAAGGUUUCUAGGCUGCCAAAAUCGCUUCAUGACUCAUAAGAUCACUUCAUGAUUUUGACAGCAUCAGACUGAGUAGAAAAAUUUGAUGUUGCUGUCAAAAUCGCCUCAUGAUUUGCGAAAUCGCUUCAUGAUUCGACAACAUUAGGCUAUGCAGAAAAUUUAUUGUUUCUGUCAAAAUCACCUCACGAUUUGUAAGAUCGCUUCAUGAUUUUGACAGUAGCAGACUAUGCAAAAUUCAACUUCUACGUUUUCGCGCAUAAAAAUCAAACCGUUAAUCCGUUUUCGAUGCCGUUUUCGCCUACAUGCUCCUAACACUUGGCACUAUCAUAAUUUACAAAAAUUUCAUGUUUCAACCAUCCCAAAAGUCAUUUUCCAAAACCUCACAUAAUCACUUAUUGGCGAAAACGCAUAAACAUCGACAUUUCACACGAAAAACCCGUUUUCUCCCAAACAACUCAACUAACAUAACCACAACAUGAAAACAGAAAUUCUCCUAGGUUCAAUCCAUCCAACAAUAACAAAAUUUCAGUCAACAACCAUAAAUAUCAAAGUUCAAUUUGGUCCUUCACAUGAACACUUAACUCAACUUCACCAAUUUCACAAAACCACCAAUAACAUCUUAUUUCUCAUCAACAAUUAUGGUAUAUGAACACCCAAGCCUCAAAUCAUACUCAACAACAUAUCUCAGCAACAACAACAUCAAUUACAUAUGAUUUACAUCUCAUUUCAACCAAAACAUAUCAAAUUUCAUCAAUUAAGUAUAAUUUCAUAACUUAACAUUUAUACAUACUUUGAAACAUGUAAUUUCACCCACAAACAUACCAUAAUCAUCAAUUCAUGCACAAGAAAAUAACAUUACAACAAGAGCACGAAUUUAGCCACAAUUGUUCAUCAACCCAUUUUCAUACAACAUGAGAAAAUGCAAAAAUUGUACAUGAUUAUGAUAAUAACUAACCCCCUUACCUUAGAAGAAGAUUAACCCAAACUCUUGCUUCAAUUUAGCUCCUAAGCUUACCCAAUUGGAUUCUUCAAGUUCUUCUCUCCAAAACCCUUUUUCUCUUCUCUUCACCUCUUUCUCUCUCUACCUCUCUCUAGAAAUGUUUGUGAAAUGAAUGAAUUGGUUCUCCUAACACAACCCUAGUGUUAUCUCUACUAAUGGGCUUAACUUAGUUUCUAGUGGGCUUAACCCAUUUCUA
rnacentral:lncRNA from 1 species